rnacentral:tRNA from 1 species
UGUAGGUAUAGUUUAACGUAAAACACUAGAUUGUGAUUCUAGAAAAAGAGGUUAAAACCCCCUUACCC